AUACGUAGGUGGCAAGCGUUGUCCGGAAUUAUUGGGCGUAAAGCGCGCGCAGGCGGUCCUUUAAGUCUGAUGUGAAAGCCCACGGCUCAACCGUGGAGGGUCAUUGGAAACUGGAGGACUUGAGUGCAGAAGAGGAAAGUGGAAUUCCAAGUGUAGCGGUGAAAUGCGUAGAGAUUUGGAGGAACACCAGUGGCGAAGGCGACUUUCUGGUCUGUAACUGACGCUGAGGCGCGAAAGCGUGGGGAGCAAACAGGAUUAGAUACACUGGUAGUCCACGCCGUAAACGAUGAGUGCUAAGUGUUAGGGGGUUUCCGCCCCUUAGUGCUGCAGCUAACGCAUUAAGCACUCCGCCUGGGGAGUACGGUCGCAAGACUGAAACUCAAAUGAAUUGGCGGGG
rnacentral:rRNA from 1 species